rnacentral:rRNA from 1 species
GUUGGGUUAAGUCCCGCGACGAGCGCAACCGUUGUUGCUAGUUGCCAUCAUGUAGUUGGGGACUCUAGCGAGACUGCCAGUGACGAACUGGAGGAAGGCGGGGAUGACGUCAAAUCAUCAUGCCCCUUAUGGCCUGGGCUACUAACGUGAUACGAUGGGUGCUACAAAGGGCAGCGAAGCCGUGAGGUGGAGCGAAACCCAUAAAAGCACUCUCAGUUCGGAUUGAAGUCUGCUACUCGACUUCAUGAAGUUGGAAUCGCUAGUAAUCGCAAAUCAGAAUGUUGCGGUGAAUACGUUCUCGGGGUUUGUACACACCGCCCGUCAAACCACGAAAGUCAGCAAUACCCAAAGCCGGUGGCCUAACCGUAAGGAGGGAGCCGUUUAAGGUAGGGUUGAUGAUUGGGGUUAAGUCGUUACAAGUAACCAAGGGCGAUUCCAGCACACUGCGGCCUACUAGU